rnacentral:rRNA from 1 species
GACGAACGCUGGCGGCGUGCUUAACACAUGCAAGUCGAACGGAAAGGCCCUGCUUUUGUGGGGUGCUCGAGUGGCGAACGGGUGAGUAACACGUGAGUAACCUGCCCUUGACUUUGGGAUAACUUCAGGAAACUGGGGCUAAUACCGGAUAGGAGCUCCUGCUGCAUGGUGGGGGUUGGAAAGUUUCGGCGGUUGGGGAUGGACUCGCGGCUUAUCAGCUUGUUGGUGGGGUAGUGGCUUACCAAGGCUUUGACGGGUAGCCGGCCUGGGAGGGUGACCGGGCACAUGGGGAUAGGGGAGGGACCAGGGCGGAAAAGGGGGGCAGGGGUGGAAAAUUGUGCAAGAUGGGCGGAGGCGGGGAAGAACAACGGCGGGUGGGGGAGGACGGCUUUCGGGUAAGAAAACCAUUUGGCCUGUAACGAGGGGUGAGGAAGGGAAAUGAAUAAAAAGCAACCGGUAAACUAGUG